UGCGUAGGCGGGUUAAUAAGUCAGUGGUGAAAACCUUCAGCUUAACUGGAGACUUGCCAUCGAUACUGUUAGUCUUGAGUACGGUCAAGGUAGGCGGAAUGUGUAAUGUAGCGGUGAAAUGCUUAGAUAUUACACAGAACACCGAUUGCGAAGGCAGCGUACUGGACCAUUACUGACGCUGAGGCACCAAAGCGUGGGGAGCGAACAGGAUUAGAUACCCUGGUAGUCC
rnacentral:rRNA from 1 species